AAGACCCAGGUUCUGUUGCUAGCACCUACCUACAUGGCGGCUUCUAACCAUCAGUCACUCCAGUUCCAGGGAAGCUGACAUCAUCUUUUGGCCUCCCUGGGCACCAGGCAUGCAUGUAGUACAUAGACAUAACGUGCAGGCAGAAUACACACACAUAAAAUAAAAAUAAUUAUUAAAAAAUUAAAGGCAUAAUUUAGUUUAUAUAUAGUCACUGUUCUUAGUAUUAGAGGGUAGGUUUGGUUUUGGUGCGGGAGUUGUGGGUUGUGGGAUGGGGAGGAAUGUUCUUGCUCUUAGAAAUUUAGCCUCAUUUUAUUCCUGGGGAAGUACCAGUAAGUAUUUUGAUGAUGUGGCAGGUAGAGAAAGUGUCGUCACAAUUCAUGGUCUUAGUUAACAGGUGAUACAGCAAUUUUUAGUCUCUUUCUGCCCUUUCCAUUCCAUCCCAUGGGUCAUUUCUAGGAGAGAAGAAUUCCUCAAAGGGUGGAAUUAUUGAUGGCUAUCCCAAGCAGCAAGAAGAGAAAUGUGGAGUUCCUAGGCCCUUCCCUGAGGACUCAGAGAAAACUGGCCUUGGUCUGAGAUGGUCUCUAGUCAUUAUACCUACUGUCAAAGACAUAGGAGAGCUCCCAUGAUGUCACCCUACAGGAAACAGUCAAGCAGCUGCCUUUCUCCUUUUGUGUUGUUCCUAUCUGUUGAACCUCCACCCCUCUACCACUCCCCGCAGAAGUUUAAUGACUCAGGAUGAACUCUUGAGGACAAGAACGGGAAGGUGGCCUUUCCUGUUAUUUCUUUCAACAAAUAAGACUUUGCCCAACAUUCUUGGAACCUAAAUGUUUAAUUUUGUUAUGACUGUAGUCCCUGAUGAGAAGGUGUGACUUUCAUUGCAGCAUCCAGAAAGAGUCCCUUCUCUUGGGUUCAGUGAUGAAAAUGGUUCAAAUACACCCAGGCCUGUGUCACGCCAUGUAUGCUUGGGUUUCUAAAUGAGGAUCUGGAUCUGGCCACAUGGCUCAUAGGUUAAGAGUACUUGCAACUCUCAGAGGACUGGAGUUUGGUUCCCAGCACACACAUCAAGUGGCUUAGAACUAGCUGUAUGUCCAAUUCUGGGGACUUGAGCCUCUGCUCUAGUCUGCUGGCACCUGUACAUACAUGCAGAUACCAACACAUAAAAUAAAGGUCUUAGAAAUGAAGACCAUGCGGGCCGUUUAGGGGAUACAGCUUGACUAGAGGUAUUGGCUUGGGGAUGAAGCUGCACUGCACUAGGACCUAAAAGGCUGACAUGGACUUGUUUGGGCCUAGAAUUUUCUCAGGGCAACAGUCCAGUGUAAUGUUGAUGGAGAGAAGCUGAGGAGUUGUUAGUCCCUCCCCAUCUUGGUAACUUCACCUGUAUGGAGAUCCUCAAACCUGUCAGCUUGCUCACACACCACCUCAGUGCCCGAGUGUUUUAGAGACUGACUCUUAUUAACAAGAGAAGACAGUGAGUAGAGUCACUGACAGGUAAUGGACCUGUCUGAUGACUGACUGGCAGAGAGAGGAUAUAGAUCUCAAGAACAAAGCCAUGUUAACACUUCUGCUCUGUAGUGGGCCUUAAGUCCUAUGCUCACAUACUUCUAAGAGUGUAACAGGUGGUCCCUGCAGCUUAGUGUUAAUUAUUGAGGUACCUUUACUUAGAUGUAUUAAUUCCUGAGUAAGGUGCUUUAGUAAAUGAGGUACCCUGGCAGGAAUAGAAGUAGAUUAUUCUUCAUGGUGUGGAGACCUGGUCCCCUAACCAGAUAUGUGGAAUGUAUACACUAUAGGUGAUGGUGUCCCCCAACCUUAUUGUGUGGAUAUCCGUGCAACAGUCUCUUUGAGAGCAGAUGCUGUCUCAGUGUGAAUUAAGUAGGCAGACCUAAUCAUGUGGAUUUGCUUCCUUAAUCUCUGUUGAAGUGUUGCAUCUCUACAGGCAAUCAGGGAUUCUUCACAGACAGAACGUCCAUGGACACAGAUGCCAGAAGUCCCCUUUUGACUGUUUCAUCUAUAACAACCAUCCAGUUCUAAGCAAAACCCAUUUCAUCUGGCUUGGAAUAUUAUGUGAAUAAAAUUAAAAGUUCAUUCUUCGGCUUUCACUUGGCAGUGUUUGUGAGAUUCUUACUCUCAACAGGUGUACAUUGUUCGUUCUUGUGAUUGUGUAGUACUCCAUGUCUGAAUAAACAACCUUGUACCGUG
rnacentral:lncRNA from 1 species